UACGUAGGGUGCAAGCGUUGUCCGGAAUUAUUGGGCGUAAAGAGCUUGUAGGCGGUUUGUCGCGUCUGCUGUGAAAUUUCGGGGCUCAACCCCGAACUUGCAGUGGGUACGGGCAGACUAGAGUGUGGUAGGGGAGACUGGAAUUCCUGGUGUAGCGGUGAAAUGCGCAGAUAUCAGGAGGAACACCAAUGGCGAAGGCAGAUCUCUGGGCCGUAACUGACGCUGAGACGCGAAAGCGUGGGGAGCGAACAGG
rnacentral:rRNA from 1 species